AUUGAACGCUGGCGGCAGGCCUAACACAUGCAAGUCGAACGAGUGGCGGACUGGUGAAUAAUGUCUGGGAAACUGCCCGACGGAGGGAGAUAACUACUGGAAAAGGUAGCUACUACCGCAUACCAUCGGUUGGGCUCAGGUGGGAUUAGCUAGUCGGUGGGGUAACGGCUAACCUAGGCGACGAUCCCUAGCUGGUCUGAGAGGGUGACCAGCCACACUGGAACUGAGACACGGUCCAGACUCCUACGGGAGGCAGCAGUGGGGAAUAUUGCGCAAUGGGCGAAAGUCUGACCGAGCCAUGCCGCGUGGAUGAAGAAGGCUUUCGGGUUGUAAAGUUCUUUCAGUGGGGAGGCGUUACUCGCAGAGGAAGCAACGGCUAACUACGUGCCAGCAGCCGCGGUAAUUC
rnacentral:rRNA from 1 species